AAAGGUUUAGGUUCACUCCAGACCAAAGGCCUUCAAAGCCUUAAGCAAGUGUCAAACCACUUAACCUUUG
rnacentral:tRNA from 1 species